UUUUUUUUCAGAAGAGGAAGAAAUAUGCAAAAGCUUGAACUUCUGAGAAAUAUAGAAAGCAGUAAACAGCCCGGUUCACUCUGCAGGCAGUAUGAAAGCUAUUUACGUCUUUUUGGUGGCGUGUGUGCUCAUUGCCUCUUAUGCUUCUGUUGGUGUUGAGGCUUUUGGAUGCUAUUUUAAUAAACAAAAGUGCCACGACCACUGUCGAAACAAUGGAUAUAGUGGAGGAUACUGUCACGGGGUCCUCAAGCAGCAAUGUAGAUGCUAUGAAUAAAAAAAAAUUUCAUCGAGCCUGCCAGCAUUUUGGAAAAAUACAAUAGCUUCAACGGGUGAACAUUGUUUCUGAAAAUUUUUUCAAAAAGUGAAAUAAAAUUUUCUAUUCAAUGUGG